CGUGCUUUAUGGAGCUAAGCCUUGCCCAGAAGAGGAAAGAAGACAGCAGAGACAGCUCAGGGAGUGUGGCAGGAUGCUGUCAUGACCCUGUGUAAGACUCCAGCUGAGUGCUGUGUGUAUUUAUAGACACACACACACACAGACACGCAGGCAUGGGAAACGUGCCCUGGAACAAACGUACUGUUUGUUUCCUGGAAACAUGCCCUUCCUUGCCAACUUGCCAGAUUUCCCAGAUCACAUCAUCCUGAAGCAGGGAAAAUUAUGUCUUCUUAUUCCUGGCAUCCACCUGCCACAUGAAGAGAGAUCUUUGGAAAACGGAUCUGACCACUUCUCUGCCCUUUGGAAGACUGGAGCGAUUUCACCUUGUCCUCGGGGAACGAGCUUAAAUUCUCGUGAUGCUGAGAAGAGGGCAGGAGCGGAUAAGUCAAGCACACAAACCAUGGAGAAAAACUUAAGGAUACUUUCCACACCCCAAGCAACAGGCACAUCCCUCUGGGGUGCAACCUAGGUAAGUAAGCCCUGACCACACAGGGGUAUGGAUGCCCUCGGCUGCCUAAGGAGAAGCUUGAUUUGAGGUCUAAGGAAGGCAUCUCCCUUGUGGAAAUGGUACCUGACGGUGACCUGGGCUCUGUGGGGGUGGUAGGCAGAUGUAACAACGUGUGUGGUCGCACCGUUUACAAUACCACACCUUCAUAACCAACCACAUCUCAUUUGAUCCUUUUUUUUUUUUUUUUUGGUUUUUUUUUUAGGGCCACACCUGCAGCAUAUGGAAGUUCUGGGACUCAGGGUGGAAUCAGAGCUGCUGCGCAGCUGAGGGGCAACAUGGGAUCCGAGCCACAUCUGCAACCUACACCGCAGCUUGUGGCAACGCCAGAUCCUUUAACUCACUGAGCGUAGCCAGGAUCAAACCCAAAUCCUCACAGAUACUAACUGGGUUCUUCGCACACUGAGCCACAGCAGAAACUCCACACAUUUCAUGUGACCCCAGUGCCUACUCUCUAGGUAGCUUCCUCACCCUCAUUUCUCAGAUGAGGGAAACUGAGGCUCACAGAAUUUUCUGAGUGGCCAGAAACCCAGGGUUUCUGACACACGGUCUUUCCCUUACACGGCAGUUUGGCCUGGGGAAGUCAUGCAAAAUCUCACAGAGCAGGAAACCAUGACUUCUACAGAGACGGCUUCCUCCCAACCCUGGGCAAGGCCCACGGCUGAUGCAAAGUCAUGGUGGUAAAAAGGGAGUGUGCAGGGGGCCACGCUGAUGAGGGCUGGUGGCUGGAUAGCGGCAGGAGCAGCCAAGGGUACUAGGGGGCUGAGCUGGACUAGGCUACUCACCCAGGGUGUGGCUCAGUGCCCAAGGAGAACAGUGAGGCUAUGACUGGCCUAGGGGCUGCCCUGUGCCCAGGAGCAGGGGGCCUAGCCUGAGGGAGGCCUGACUGUAUCCAGAUCUUUGAUGACCACGGGUAAAGAUAAGAUAAAGCCAGUCUCUUAUUUUUAAGCCAGUCAAAGAGAGG
rnacentral:lncRNA from 1 species